AUCUACCUGCUAAUAUUGGUCUUAGAUAACAAAGUUGGAGAUUAAUGAAUGAUGAAACAAAAUUUCAAUAAUGAUUUAUCCACAGCUACCUUGUAAUUAUUAAAUUAAAAAUGAAUCAUUUCGAUUUUAAAAUGUUUCUCGCCCUCUCUUUCAUUAUACACACAUAUAUAGUACAAUUAUAUUAGGCAGGCGUUUCGUGUAAACGAGUCUUUUUUUAGCAUCAUAAUUAACUUCCUCCUGCUGCACAGCUUUUUUCCGGCGCAGUGACGUCACAAAGAGGCGGCAAAAGGAAGAAAAAAACCGAGUCGCGUCCGUGAUGUCAGACGCUGAAAAAGUUCGCCACGUGGUUUAAAUCGACAUGUGGGCCUAGUUGUUCCUCAAUGGCGGCUCGACCUGGUCCGGAUGUAGCGCUGAGAGGAAAAGAUGCAUUGGGAUUUCUGCACAUGGAGACCAGGUCGUAGUUGUCGUAGUGUCAAAGUCCAGGCCCGGGAACUGAAGGACAAGGUUGAUCAUCCUGAAGAUCUUCAACACAGUGUUGUCAACAAAGGGUGUUGGUGAGGGAUCCAUACAGCCUCUGGAUCUCUGGCGUCCUGGACUGUAACGUGAAGGUGGAUCAAGUGGACCAAUUGCUUAGUAGCAAGAUCUUCUCAACCACUGGAUGUCUUCAGGAUUCUACGGAUCAGAGUCGACCAAGUAAGGAGAAGUACAAUCUUCAUCAAAGGGACCAGAGGAUCAGUAUGAUGAUGAUGAUGAUGAUGCUGCAGCGUUCAUCUUGGAUGACGUCUCGGGGCAGUGGAGUUUCUGUCUGUUGACACAGCAGACCAACAUGAUAUGGGAUGGACCCAAGAGAGCUGAAGUUGGGAAAAGAUAAAUUAUCAUCUACUGAUGGUGGUGUAGGCCAUGUCAAGCAGGAUGCAUUUAUGAGACAACUAACAUGAAAAACAGAAGCCAACUCUCUGUUACAGCAGCAUUAAACAGACAGGUCCAGGACCCAGAGGAUCCACGCCCACCACAGCUGCCAGACGAAGCCAUUCCAUUCCCUGCUUGGCUGUGUAUGGGUUUUAAGUUUGAUCAAUUACAAAUCAGCAUUUAAUUAAAGUCUUAAGAUGCAGUUUGUGGUCACUGAUGAAUUCAACUACACGCUUGAUCCUGAAUUUAUUUUUAAUGUGCUUUAGUUUACAUUCAGUUGGAAUUUAAUGGUCUGGAUUUCCUUCACUUCACUUCACUACUACUAACCCCUAUCCUUUCCUAACUCUUCUUCUUGUUGCUUAAAGAAACUCAGCCACAAAUUCUUACUUACCGAGUGCUGUACCAUGGACGCAGUUCCCAAAAUCAGACCUGGAUCCAUCUGAUUUUGUGACCUGGUCCAUCCAUGGUACAACAUCAUCCUCCAACAAUGUCAAUGUGAAGUCCUUAUCACAGAAUGAAGAUUUGGUUUCUGAAGCGUUUGUAGUUAUUUCAUCAGUGGCUCAUCAAUGUCAUAGUGAUUCAGUUCAUGGUUGAUUGUUUGUUUUAGUUUGGGGUGCAUGGCCCUCAUAAUCUUUAUUUAUUUAUUUAUUUAUUUAUUUUGGACGGGGUAGUGGAGUGACAAGAUUUAUUUUUACCAUUCAGCUCAUUUGAACUCUUCUGUCAUACUGAUGCUAUUUGGCCCUAAAUUAUAUUCAUUGAAGGUUUUUGGGCUUUCAGGGCCCAGAGGUUUGUCUCCAUCUGCCAAGUCUGUUUCCUACUAAAGACUUUUAAGCCCUUUAGUGGUGUUUAGACGACUCCUUGGGAGGCCUCCCACAGAGGAAUUUUGUCCUCUGCAAAAUUGCGCGGUUUAAUGGAUACACGCAGGGAUAAGGUGGGUAAUUUAUAAAUAUGCUGGUGUAAUCUGUUAGGCAUACAGGUUAGAUUGCGCGUUUAGGUUCUUUAAUAGAAAAUAUACUCGGCAAAGAGACAAACCUGGACUUGGUAAAGAUUUAGUUCAUGUUAUUCCUUUUGUUUCUUUUAUUUAUUUUAUUUUUUGAGAAU